rnacentral:rRNA from 1 species
AACGUAGGACGCAAGCGUUAUCCGGAGUUACUGGGCGUAAAGCGCGGGCAGGCGGCCAACCAAGUCUGAUGUGAAAUCUCUUCGCUCAACGGAGAGAGGCCAUUGGAAACUGGUCGGCUGGAGGGCAGUAGAGGUAGGCGGAAUUCCGGGUGUAGUGGUGGAAUGCGUAGAGAUCCGGAGGAACACCAGCGGCGAAGGCGGCAUCCUGGACUGGUCCUGACACUCAGGAGCGAAAGCGUGGGGAGCGAUCCGG